GCUAAAGUGGCUGAGGUUUAAGCGAUAGUUUGUAAAACUAUUCACGGAUAUACUCCCUUUAGUA
rnacentral:tRNA from 1 species